AAGUAAUACAGCAGCCAUCGAGUUGUUGGCCCUGAUCAAGCCUCCGUGGCUGCCUGUCUCCAGAUUGCCGCUCCCUCGAUGUCAUCUGUCACAACUUGCUCCUUAUUCUGCGUGUAGUUUGGUCCGGUGUGCCCCCUUCUGAAGGAGACCCCCACUAUGCUGUGUUGCUUUCCUGCAGAGCUUAUGGGGAGUGUACCUUCCUGUGACACGUCUCUCUGAGCCAAGGUGAUGGAGGAGACGGGCGGCUUCUCUUCUGUUAAAACCUUGCUUUCCGCAAGGAAAGGAGGGAAAGUGCAGCAGUGAUACCACCAGAAAAGGUUCAGCAAGUGGCAGUUCCAAGGAGCUGCUGUAGACUUUUUCCGGUCAGAGAUGAUAAAACUGGAAACUGUUUUCAUGAAAACACAAAACUUCAGAUGUGUAUCUCAAGGAAGAGACCUCAUUUCUGUUUUUCCAUAUUUUUUUCUGCGAAGUUAACAUUUUUUGUUGAGAAUAAUUCUCAAAUGUCGUUUGAAACAUUUUGCUUACAAGCGCAUGCUUUUUUUUUCCAGCUGGCUUUUCUCUAAGUGACGCUGAUGUUGCUGAUAAUUUUUGAAAUGCAGAGGGAGAAGGGACAUUUUGCACAAAGUGUCAUUCUGGGAAAGGCUAUUUUUCACUGCACAAAACAUUUUGUCAUGUAAACUAUUUAAAACAGCUCAAUGUCAGGAUACCCUCUAACUUCCCCAGAAACUAUCUGGGCCUCCACUGAGCUUCUCCAACUGUCCUGAAGGCCAUCAGAACAUUUUGCCUGACAACGUUUCCUAGCAGGUUGGUCCUUCCACCCGGUGAAGGACCCAUACUGUCGACAAAACUGUCUGUCAGCCUCCCCUGGGGGCAAGACCCCAUGGCUUGUGGGUCGCCAAUCUGUCUUCCACUCACUUCGUCCUCUGCCUCCUUCUCCCCAUAAAUCUCAAGGACUCGAGGCACUCUUGACGACUGGUCUGGAAGCUAAUGAGGAGUGCACUUGACCUUUGCUGACGCCGCAAUUAGAGAUUACCGGUGAAUGCUGGGGAAGCAGAGAAAGCUCUUUUUGGCUUCCUCUGCCCGGCGUGUUUGAAAAGCUUUCUUCCUGAUCUCUCACGGUGGAAAUGAGAGAAGAGCAGGCUCUACACCCUCCUGACCUCCUCCUCUCGCAAGGCAGCACAGAGAUGCGACACCAAGGAGAAAGAAGUACUGCCACGGCGCUACGAUCGCUGUUGCAUUAUAAAUACGCACACAGUACAUACAAUUACAGAACUUUAAUGUCUGGUAUAA